rnacentral:lncRNA from 1 species
AAUCAAUAAGAAAUUUGGGGAUAAAUUCCAGUUUAUUUCAGUAUUCUACUAGUUGCUGCAAUUUAAUUAAAGAAAUAAAUAAUUAAAACAACACUUAAUUUUAAUGAUGUUUUUACUCACUUUUGUUUAAUGUAGAAAAUACAGACAUCUUUAUGGGAAACAUUUGAAACUAGUUACAAGAAAUUUGAUUCUAAAGCAACUCCUACACAAAAUGUAUCUCGAAAUUUCUUAUCAACUGAUUAUGGUAAAUCCAAAGAUAAAAGAGACUAUCUGUGGACAUCUACCAAAAGCAGUUUGUCUACACCAGUACCAAAGUCAUAUACUGUGAAGACACCAACUAAACUACAAACACAGCAAAGAGAAGAAACGAAUAAACCCAUUGAAGAAAAUAAUAAAAAGAGAAAAAUCUUUGAAUUUGAUGUUAAUUCAGAUAGUUCAGAAGCUACGGAUCUUUGGAGCAUGGUUUCUGAGGAAGACACGCUGAACAAACUGUACAAAAAUAAUAAUCCACCUGCUUCUCAUCUUUGUGUCAGAACACCAAAAAAGGCUCCUUCGUCUCUAACAACUCCUGGAUCUGUGAGAAAAAUGCAAGAUGACCGUUGGGCUGUAGUUGCUAAAAUGGACAGGAAAAAAAAACUAAAGGAAGCAGUAAAGUUAUUUGUUUAAGAAAAUCAGUGUGAUAAUGGACCCUAAUAACAUCAAAUUAAUAGUUAAUUUUUUUUAUUUUCCAACGAGUCAAACUUUACUUGGAAAUUGAGACUUAAAAAAUUGCAUAAAAAUUUUGUAUUUUUUAUAUUAUUAUAUUUUGGCCCGAAUGUGAAAUAGCUGUAUAUUAUCUGAAAACUUGUUAUUAUAUUCAGAUAAUUAUACAACUAUAUUUUGUUACUUUUUCCUGUACUAAUAUUAUGUUUUCAGAUUUUUAGUUUUGAACACUAGAAAUGUGUAAUUGAGAUUUAUUCUUUAUUCAUUAUUAAAAUUUUUUGAAUGCAAAAAAUGCUUUAUGUUGACUCUGUGAGGAUACUUGAAUAACUAAAUCAUAAUUUUAAGAAUAGUAUUUUUUAAAUCGCAAGAGUGUAUUAGUGGAGUUUUACAUUUCUCAAGCAGUUUUUAUUGCUGUAUUCAUGAAAUUUUCAGAUGGUUUUUUUGUGGCAGGAAAGAAGUUUAUAGCCAUAUAACUUUCUGAAAUGAAUUAUGCAAAUAUCUAUU